UACGUAGGGCGCAAGCGUUGUCCGGAAUUAUUGGGCGUAAAGAGCUCGUAGGCGGCUUGUCACGUCGAUUGUGAAAUCCCGGGGCUUAACCCCGGGCGUGCAGUGGAUACGGGCUGGCUGGAGGCAGGCAGGGGAGAAUGGAAUUCCCGGUGUAGCGGUGAAAUGCGCAGAUAUCGGGAGGAACACCGGUGGCGAAGGCGGUUCUCUGGGCCUGUUCUGACGCUGAGGAGCGAAAGCGUGGGGAGCAAACAGG
rnacentral:rRNA from 1 species